rnacentral:snRNA from 1 species
AUUACCAAACGCUCAACCAGU